UAACCAGGAGGGAAGAUAAGUAUUUCUGCAUGGAGGUUGAGGAUGGGUUUGGCUUGGAGAGGACGUACAGUUCUGCUGAUGAUGGAGCGUCGGACAGAGGACAGGCAGCCCCCUGGUCCCCUGAGCCAGGCUCCUUCUGGUGAAGAGACUCAGUCUUUACCUCACUAAAGAUGUCGGAUGACUGGGCUUUGUCUGCUCCAUCUAAGACCCUGCAAAUGUGUUUCAUCUGUGAUCUUUUUUGUCCAAACAUCUGUGGAGGGACCUCCUGGAUUUCAAGUAAACAAGUUCCUAUUUUUCUCUUUUUUUUUUUUAACAAGAACUUUAUUACACAUCCAAAGGUGUAGGAUAUGUUUCUGUAACUUUGUAUUGUUUUUUUUUCUUUUCUCACACAUAGUUUUUAAAUAAAAUGUAGCUUGAGUUCUCCCCCUUGAGCUAAUCGAGGUAAUUUGGUUUAUGGGAGGGCACAAGAGGACUGUGUGCUUUUUGCCAGAACAUUGCAGAGCUGGUGUGUGCCGUGACCCUCACAGGUCGGUGACCCUGCACCAAACAACAGGAGCCAGGCCAGUCGAUGAUGCAGAGCAGCGGGAGGUGUGCUGCAGAAAUGGUAGAGCUGCUCCGCACUCAGCCGAUGAUGCAGGCAGGGCUCACCAGGAGGCUGAGCCAUGAGCCCCACGCCUCCCUGGCGUUGAUGAGAGAUCCCAGCGGCAAGCCGAGAGGCUGACAGGUCUGUGAAUCUCAGAAGAGACAGAUGGUGGAAGAAAAGAGGGGGGGGAAGAGAGAAAAAAAAAAAAGCGACAUUUUUAAACAUCGCACUGUCCAGAAAAAUGAUAGUGCUUUGUAGGGAUUUUGCGCAGUCCUCUCAAUUGGAGGCGUGUUUCUUGUCAUGCCAUUGUCUCUCUGCAGUGGUCAAUUAGGUUCUGGGAACACUCGAGGGGGAAGUGUUGUCCAGCUGCCGUGUGUCAGAUCAGGCUGUAUAGCUCUCGUGAACUGUAAUGAGAAGAACAGUACACUCCAUCUCUCUAUCUAGUUAGGAGCAGCAGUGCAAGCAGACGCACCAGGAGAGCUCUUUUCAGAGAUGUUCACUGCAAAGCUUUCUUGUGAAAACCUUAUUGCACUUGUUCACCAUCUUUAAAAUGAGAAUGAAUUAUUUUUUCCAGUGUUUGUGUUAUUACAACCCACAGUUGUGUCCUGUGCUGGUUUUUUAUGACGUGUCUUGUGUGAGGGUGUUAUGUUUUGUCCCGCGAUGCAUGUUAUUGUCUACCUGGUUGUUAUUGUGUACUUGAUGAUUGGAGAGCAAGGGCUGGUCUGCAGAAAAGAAUUUCUCCUUUGGGACAAUAAAGUCUGAAGUCUGUUAUUGUCAUUGUUAUUUAAGGUGUGAAUCACUUGUCAUAGGUGUUUUUUGAUCUUUAUCAUACAAAUCUACAUGAGUAUAAAUA